rnacentral:rRNA from 1 species
AAUAUUGGACAAUGGGGGCAACCCUGAUCCAGCCAUGCCGCGUGUGUGAAGAAGGUCUUCGGACUUGACGGUACCUAAGGAGGAAGCCCCGGCUAACUACGUGCCAGCAGCCGCGGUAAUACGUAGGGGGCGAGCGUUAUCCGGAAUUAUUGGGCGUAAAGGGUGCGUAGGCGGCCUUUUAAGUCAGAUGUGAAAGGCUACGGCUUAACCGUAGUUAGCAUUUGAAACUAAAAGGCUUGAGUGCAGGAGAGGAGAGUGGAAUUCCUAGUGUAGCGGUGAAAUGCGUAGAUAUUAGGAGGAACACCAGUGGCGAAGGCGACUCUCUGGACUGCAACUGACGCUGAGGCACGAAAGCGUGGGGAGCGAACA